UAUUGAAAGAAGUCCCUUUGUCUGUGAUGAUAGGGAAAGUAAACAUGAUUGGAAAACAGAAAGCAGCACUGAGAAGGAGAAACUGACCAAAAGCAACACUGAGAAGAAUAAACUGAUGGCAGAAACUAUUGUGAUUAAUGCGGAGA
rnacentral:ribozyme from 1 species